AGACAAGAAGUCCAAAAACCCCAUUGCUAAACUGUUUAAAGCAAAGAGCAAAGGAUUCACCCUCACCACUGACGUUAAUGCUAAGGAAGAGCCAAAAUCUUGCAGAAGUCUAAAGUUGGCCAGCAUCCGAGUUUCAAUUUCUGCCCAUAAAACAACCUUACUGAAACGCACAGAGCAGUUAAAAUGUUACUCAGAGGGAAACAGGGAGGCUUCAAACUCAGCUUCUCACAUCGAGAUCCGCUACACUGACCUUUUCGUGACAGAAGACAAUGACUUAGUUGACAGUAGCCAACAUGAGUACUUUGCCUUGGCGGGCAGACGUGCUCGCAUCUAUGUCCACCAGGCCUGCCAGC